rnacentral:lncRNA from 1 species
GGAGAGCAGAAUAAAGGCUGUUGAAUUUGACUUUUACUAUUUUAUUGGCAUCUUUGUCAGUGGGAAGAAAUCAGAUUGAAACUUCUUGAGUGAAAUAUGAACAGGUGAUGUCAAUGAAUAGUGGUUAUUCUUUCAAGGUUGGUAGUGAAGUAAGUCAGUUGCUUUAGGAGGAAGUAAUUGUGAACGCAAGAUUUUUUUGUUUCUUUAUUGUGAUGAAGAGGUGAACCUUUGUUUAUUUCUUAUAGUCCUUCUAUUUUUAUAUACUUUUUGUAAGAAAAAAAAUGCCUGAGCUUUAAUAGGUACAUCAUAUUCCUUGAGCACUUAUUUUGAGUUUGAUAAUAUCACAAUAAUGUUACAACAACAUAAUGAAUUACUGAUAACCCUUCUUACUUUUGUGGUCAACAGACUCUUAAGGUAGUCCCAUGAUCUCUGCCUCAUGGAGUUCAUGUGAUCCCCUCUUCUUGGGUGUAGUUAGGUGUGACUUGCUUUGAACCAAUUGAAGUAGCAAAGGGAAUGGGAUGUACAAGAUUAGGGAUAUGUGAUUAUAUUGUAUUAGAUUGUAGCAUCUUUCUUCCUAGAGUCCCAGUGCCUCUCUCUCUCUUGCUGCCCUCAAAGAGGUUUAACCCACACUGGAAAGCCUCGUGUGUAAAAAAACUACAGGUGGCUUCUAAGAUAUGAGGGUGUUCUCUAGCUAGAAGUUAGGAUAAAACAGAUCUUUGGUCCAACAGCUGCAAGAAACUAAAUUCUGCUAACUCCCUGAACAAGGGUAGAUGCAGUUCAUUCCCUGGUCAUUUCUCAGAUGAGAAUGCAGAUCAGGCCACUUUGAUUCCAACCUGGGAGACUUGAAGUAGAGGACUCAGCUAAGCCAUACCCAGAGUUCUAAUCUGAGUUCUUUUAAGAAACGUGGGUUGUUUUAAGCUCUUAAGCUUGUGGCAAUUUGUUAUACAGCAAUAGAUGAGGCAAAUAAUUUAAAAAUUCAAGCACAGAUAAUUUAUUUGACCAAAGAUAAAACAAUUAGUGUUGGAACCAAGGGUUUGGAAUGAAAAGGAAGUUAUACAGAUCUUGGAUUUGCUAAUUACAAUUAUUUGGAGACAAUUGACCAAACUCAGGCUUUGUUUUCUCAUCUGUAAAAACAAAAAUAUCAAUUUUAGCUUACUUUGAUGAUCAAAUGAUGUGUCAAAUAUACAAAGUCUAAAACCACUUAGACACCUAAUAAGUUGUUUUUCAUCUCUUUUAUUUCUGCAUCAUGUAAUACUUUCUAUAUGAGCAUCACAAUAAUUGAAUGAGCAAUUUCAAUAAUGUUCUAGACUCUAUUUGUUUGUCCCAAGGAAAGCAGCACCUCUUU